CUAAGCAAAGGCAGUCGACUAGAACAAUAGCACAAUCACAUAAUGCAAGAACAAGGUCAUUAUCUUCCUUUCCCGGAAAAUAGCCAACCUCAUCUCAUUUCCCCGGAAACCAUGGGAAAGAAAAACAAGAGAAUGAGAAAAGCUUCCAACUUUAUAACUAAAAAUUAGGGAGAAAUACCAUUUAGUUGGUGGUCAAUGGUAAGAACUUGGAAUUAUAAGAUUUGCUUUCUCUGUGUGAUUUCAGGUUCGAGCCAUGUGGUUGCUCAUAUGAUAACUACUAAAGACUUACAUGGUCGUUAACUUCAGGGUUCGUGGAAUCAGUUGAGAUGCGUGCAAACUAACCCGGACAUCCACGUUAAACUAAAAAAAUAUAAUUAGAGAGAAAUGUUGGAGUUGUGGAAAUGGUACCAAAAUUGCUUGGCUGUGCAUCCAGUUAAGAAACAAGUGAUUAGCUCAGGGUUUAUUUGGGGAUUUGGUGAUAUAGCUGCAAAAUCCAUCGCUCACCAUACAGCCAAGAAAUAUCAUCAAAUCAAGGUAUGAAGGGUUGCCGAUUUAUUAGAUCACGACUUCUAAUGCGUCCAAAUUCCUUGCGGUUUGUUGGUGCUAAAGUAGCAAUUGAUGGGUUCCUCUUUGGACCACUGGAUCUGCUUGUAUUUUUCAGUUACAUGGGUUUUGCCACUGGAAAGAGCGUUCCCCAAAUCAGGAAAGAUUUGAAGAGGGACUUGAUACCAGCUUUUGUUUUGGAAGGAGGUAUACGGCCAAUUGUUCGAGUUGCGAAUUUCCGAUUUGUACCUGUGAGGUAUCAACUCUUGUAUGUCAACUUCUUCUGCUUGUUGGAUAGUUGUUUUCUGUCAUGGCUUGAGUAGCAAGAGGAUGCUCCUUGGAAGCAAUGGUUGAUAUCUCUUCUCCCUUCCAAGGAGCAAAAAGAUCUAGGUGGAUGAUUUCUUGUCUUCAAGUUCUUAAUGUUUCAUUCCGAGGCAUAGUAAUCAUAGUGGGUGUACAGGUAAGAGAAAAGGGUUUCAAAAAAAGUAAAUAAGGCUUAAUCGGCAACUUCAAAUUUUCAUGCGAGCCAUUCAGACAAGUCAUAGGAUUACUCUUUUGCUGUGCAGUUUUUGCUUCGAAUACAAGGAAGCUUAUAUUGAUUGUUUUCCCAACCCUGUCUUUUUUAUUUCUUAAAAUCAAAGACAUCAUUGGCACUUUUUUGGUUAGUGGUUUGGUGAUUUUACGAGGUAUGAAAUCUUUAGAAACAGAUGCUGAUGGGAUUCUAUUUGCAUUGCUGGAGUCUUCCCUACUUCUGGGGUCUUCUGUAAAUUAACAUUUGUAACUUGUGAAAAACAGGACCAACCGAUUCUAGUGUUUGAUGGAA